CUGUAGGGUUCCGUCGCCUGGUUUGUAGAUACCGCCCUGGACGUUCCAAACCCAGGCAAAGGGCGCGUGCGAGACACUCAGGUGGCGGCGGGAAGGUGCACCGAAGCUUCCUGCGCCCGAACAAAUCUAUCUCCCCGGCCAGGCCAACCAACUUUGUCGCGCAGGAUCUAGCCACCAAGGGAAUCAUCGGGAGAUCUAGUUGUUCGAAAGAUCUAUAUUCGCUUUUCUCCAUAAAUAAUGGUGGCCCCUCGAUCUCAACAUGUGGCAUCGGCGACUUGGACCUAGGGCAAGCUUCCUUAGUGGCCAUGACAAAAAAAAAGUCUUCCUUCUUGUGAUAAGCCAAUGCGGCCAUCACAUGUUUGUGAGUCUUGUCAAUUAGGGUGGCAACCUCGAUUGCCUUUUCUUAUUUGUCUUUAUAUAUCACCUUUCCAAAAUACAUUGUGAUUUGUGGACUGUGCCAAUUUAUAGUUUCUCUGGUUCCCAGUACUA